rnacentral:tRNA from 1 species
CGAAAAUUAAUUGAUGUAAGUUUCAGUGUAAGUGAAGUGCGAUAAGCUUAUAAGUUCUCUUGAAACAUUUUCCA